GGGGGCGACACGGUUUCGACGGGGCUCGUCCAAGGGUGAGGUUGCGCGUCGCGGAGGCAGCUGGCCGCGUCAACAAGCUGCCACGCCAUUAACUGGCAACAAUAACUACGCUCUGGCUGCUUAAUCGCAGUUAGCGUUCCCCGGAAGCCCCGCCCAUGGCUCGCCGGACCGAACGUCCUGAAGUGGGCUGGCCCUAGGGUUCGGACGUUGGCCCGAAGGCGAGACUUAUGACGUCUAAGCGCUGAGCAGCGCCGGCCGAAGAGCCAGCCCAGCGCCGACAACCGAUCCUCGGCUACACGCGUAGACGCCCACCUGAGGGGGUUCCGGACGCGGGUUCGACUCCCGCCGCCUCCACCA
rnacentral:tmRNA from 1 species